rnacentral:lncRNA from 1 species
GUAAAGCAAUCCCCCCCCCCACACACACAUACAUGAGACAAGGCUUAAUGCUGGGAAGUAGUCUGUUUAAUGCAAGCCAGCACUUACAAUUUCUACAUACACUUAAAACCCCCAACAGCCUAAUUUACAUACAAUAGGUUACAUAGAGCACUAUAGUACAAUAGCAAGGGCUGAUGGGAGAUUGAGGAGGGACAAAGUAGCUAGUUUAAGCUGGUCUGGCAGUGUCCCUGGGACAACGCCCUGCUGGGGAAACAAUAGGACAGGAAAAAGGAGGGGGGAGAGGCACAGACAAGCAAUACAUUCAACAUACUCUGUGUCUGAGAGAUAAUUGAGUCAGGAACUGUACAAACUCAAUUAUUUCCAGGCACAGAAAAACACACAAUUUACAAACAUCCCAAAAGUACCCCCAAGAUCCAUGGAAACCCCACAAGAGUCACAUCCUCUGAAAGCCCUGAUCUGGGUGACCAACAUAUCCAAAAAAUCACCCAGAUCGGUUCAGUGGUUUGGUUUUUCCAUGGAAGUCACUUUUUAACAUGUCUUUUUGCACGGCCCCUAAUCCUGGGGCAAGAGGCUGGCAAGCAGGCCCCUCCAAGUACCAGUGGCAAGGUUACUUUUGCCACAGUAAGUGUCUGAAAAAUCAUAAGGUAAUUCAGUGGGGUGAUGACUAUUAUUUACAAAAAAAGGACUGAGAGUAGAGGACACGUGGGUUGCAUUGUUUCUAGCAAAUUCAGCCAUGGGCAGGAGUUCUGACCAGUUAGUCUGAUUGGCAUCAAUAAAGCAACACAAAUAAGACUCUAAGGCUUGAUUGGCUCUCUGCAGCCCCAUUUGUCUGAGGGUUAUACGAAGAGGAAAAAUAAAGUUCUAUGCCCAACUGUUUGAAGAAAGCAUGCCAAAGUCUGGAAAUAAAUUGGGUACCUCUGUCAGAGACUAUGUUUUUCGGUAUCCCAUGUAGCCUAAGGAUUUCACAUAAGAAUAUUUGAACACAAUCCUAGGAUGAUGACAGUUUUUUGAGAGGUAUAAAAUGUGCCAUCUUGGAGAAAUGGUCCACUACCAUAAGGAUAGUGUUAUACCCAUUAGAACUUGGGAGAUCAACAAUGAAAUCCAUGGCCAGGUGGGUCCACAGAGUGUCUGGUAUUGGAAGUGGCUGUAACAACCCAGGAGGUGAUUUGUGGGGAACCUUGGACACAGCACAAAUUCUACAUGCUCCCACAUAAUCCUUGACAUCACCUCUACGUGACAGCCACCAAAACUUUCUAGUAAUGGCAGAGAGGGUUUUGUGUAUACCAGGAUGUCCAGCUGUCAUGGUAUCAUGGUAUAACCUGAGUAUCUCAGAUCUCUGUGAUGGUGAGACAAACAGUUUUUUAGAUGGCUUCUCUGCUGGUGCCUGAGUUUGAUCUGCUAUUAUGGCACACAGUAGCGGAAAAGACAAAUCCGAAACUGUCGUAGCUAUAAGACACUCAGGGGGUAUAGUACGAGGGUAUAAUGUCUUUUGGUCUGGAAACUCAUAAGUAUCAUAUUGUCUAGCCAGAGCAUCGGCCUUAUUAUUAUUGGUGCCUGGUCUGUAAGUAAUAAAAUUAAAACGUGAAAGGAAAAGUGACCAUCUAGCCUGUCUGGAAGACAAUCUCUUAGCGUCCCCAAUGUAAGCCAGAUUCUUAUGAUCCGUGAAAAUCAAAAGUUGCUCUUUGGUACCUUCUAAGAGAUGUCUCCAUUCUUUAAAAGCUAGAAUAAUGGCCAAUAAUUCCCUGUUUCCGAUGUCAUAGUUUCUCUCCACAGGAGAUAACUUUUUGGAGAAAAACCCAGAGGAAUGCAGAGGCUUAUCAGAGAUUUCUCAUUGAGACAGGAUGGCUCCUACACCUGUCUCGGAUGCAUCGACCUCUAAAAUAAACUGUUUGGCGGGAUCUGGAUGUGCUAAAAUGGGUUCU